AUGUACCUAUUUGACAGACCUGGAGCAAUUAUUGUCUGUUGCUAACGUUUCAGAUGCAAGUAAAAAGUAUCCUUCCACCUUUCUGUCUGACUGGCAGCCAAAAUUGAAUAGAGGAAUAUGGAG
rnacentral:snoRNA from 1 species